GGAGGUGCAAGCGUUGUUCGGAGUUUACUGGGGCGUAAAGGGGCGUGUAGGCGGAUAUGCAAGCUGGGAGGUGAAAGCCCCCGGGGCUCAACCCGGGGAAUUGCUUUGUAGAACUGCAUAUCUAGAGAAAGUCAGAGGCAGGUGGAAUUCCAGGUGUAGAGGUGAAAUUCGUAGAGAUCUGGAGGAACACCGGCGGCGAAGGCGGCCUGCUGGGGCGUUUUCUGACGCUGAGGCGCGAAAGCGUGGGGAGCAAACAGGAUUAGAUACCCUGGUAGUCCACGCUGUAAACGAUGAGCACUCGAUGUGCGAGGUACGACCCCUCGUGUGUCACAGCUAACGCAUUAAGUGCUCCGCCUGGGGACUACGGUCGCAAGACUA
rnacentral:rRNA from 1 species